rnacentral:rRNA from 1 species
GACGAACGCUGGCGGCGUGCUUAACACAUGCAAGUCGAACGGAAAGGCCCCCUUGUGGGGUACUCGAGUGGCGAACGGGUGAGUAACACGUGAGUAACCUACCCUAGACUUUGGGAUAACUUCAGGAAACUGGGGCUAAUACCGGAUAGGAGCUCCUGCUGCAUGGCGGGGGUUGGAAAGUUUCGGCGGUUGGGGAUGGACUCGCGGCUGAUCAGCUUGUUGGUGGGGUAGUGGCUCACCAAGGCUUUGACGGGUAGCCGGCCUGAGAGGGUGACCGGCCACAUUGGGCCUGAGGUACGGCCCAGACUCCUACGGGAGGCAGCGGUGGGGAAUAUUGCACAGUGGGCGGAAGCCUGAUGCAGCAACGCCGCGUGCGGGAUGACGGCCUUCGGGUUGUAAACCGCUUUCGCCUGUGACGAAGCGUGAGUGACGGUACUGAGUAAAGAAGCACCGGCUAACUACGUG